UGAUGCUGGGAGGGAUUGGGGGCAGGAGGAGAAGGGGAUGACAGAGGAUGAGAUGGCUGGAUGGCAUCACCGACUCGAUGAACGUGAGUUUGAGUGAACUCCGGGAGUUGGUGAUGGACAGGGAGGCCUGGCGUGCUGCGAUUCAUGGGGUUGCAAAGAGUCAGACACGACUGAGCGACUGACCUGAACUGAACUGAACAAUUCUGUCAAGUAGGUACCAUAUUUAUUUUAUAGACAAAUAUGUGAGAGUGCAAAAAACACAGAGUAAUUAAUUUCAAGGGACACAGUUUUUAAAUGGCAUAGUUUAGCUUCAGAUAUUUGAGAUCUUUGAUCUUACAACCACCCUUCACUGCAUCUCAGGUACUGAAACACUGAAAUACUAACCAGCAGGCAGAUGGUUGAAGCCCUGGGCUCAGAGCAGAAUGCAUACUUCCAAGUUCCAGCCUGGACCUAGUAACCACAGCCAUCUUAGGAGGGUUUGAGUCCAGUUUAUAGUGGAAUUCAAUGCUACAGGCACAAAAUUAAAGAUCCCAACAUAUAAAGACAAGGUCACGACAUGCAAUGUGCCUGGGAUAAUGAUCUCUCAAAAUGUGUCCUAGAAGUACACUUGUGCCAAAGUGAAAUUUGAAACUUGCUUAACUGAUGACAUGAAAGCUCACAGCCUCCAACCAGGUAAUCAGAAAGCAGCUAAUCAUGAUAAACCAUCUCUAAAUGUUGUAAGAUGACUGCUUCUGAGACUGGAUUCAGAGAAGCAUUUGAAGAGACCCACUCCUAUAAUAAAAUCCAUGCCAGGACUCAAAAGUAGGCAAUAGGAGCUGAGAGCUGUAGAAAGAGAAUCUGGAAUAGAAGGCAGCCCUGCUGAGCCCAGUGCCCUCCCCAUUUCAGGCGGGAGACCUUGGGUCCAGCCUUGAGGGACCCUAUGGACAGGAAAGAUUCCCUGCGGGUGCUGAGAUGAAUCAAGCUAAAGUGGAUUUUGAGAUCCACAUGGAGCCUGGAUACCAAGGCACAGCUGAGCUGAAGCAGGAGGAGAAGGGAAGGACUGAGAGAAGCAGCCAUCUUAACGGUUCCAUCUCCUCACCUACAGCGCCUUGCCGCACUUCAACUUGUGCGGGCCGCUCAGCAGCACAGCUCUUCAAGACAGAUGGCAGGCAGCUGGGAGCGACUCCUCAUGGCCUUUGGCCCUUCCCUGCAGCUCUAACUGCAGCCAGAGGAGGAACCACACCUCGGACUGACCUCUGGGAAUCAGAGCCCUACACCACUGGUCUUGGGCAGCCCUGAUGGCUCAGAUGGUAAAGAAUCUGCCUGCAGUGUGGGAGACCUGGGUUUGAUCCCUGGGUUGAGAAGAUCCCCUGGAGAAGGAAAUAGAAACACACUAAGGAUUCUUGCCUGGAGAAUCCCAUGGACAGAGGAGUCUGGUGGGCUACGGUCCAUGGGGUCACGAAGAGUCAGACUGAACAACUAACAUCAUCUCAUAACCUCAUCUCCCCACUGGUCUUGAACUACAAUUCUGAUAUAUAGCAAGUAACAGGCAGAGUUUUCCUCUCUUUGCCUGUCUGGGCUGAGAGAUGAGCUUGUGACUCCUACAGGGUGGAGUAUUCAAUUGUAGAAUAACUUCCAGUCUUCUGCUGUAGAGUCCUUUCCAGUUUACACAGCAGCUAUCUACUUACUUCAUUUAGUUGCUACAGUAAGCGGGCAAGAUGGAUACCCUGAAACAUUGUCUCCAUUUUACAGCUCAGAAAAUGAAGGCUCAAAGAGAAUACCAAAAUUCUGUUCUUGCUAUGACAAAUCAACACAAAUUUAGCAGCUUCAGUCAGUUCAGUCACUCAGUCAUGUCUGAUUCUUUGCAACCCAUGAACUGCAGCAUGCCAGGCCUCCCUGUCCAUCACCACCUCCCGGAGUUUACCCAAACCCAUGUCCAUUGUGUCAGUGAUACCAUCCAACCAUCUCAUCCUCUGUUGUCCCCUUCUCCUCCUGCCCUCAAUCUCUCCCAGCAUCAAGGUCUUUUCCAAUGAGUCAGCUCUCCGCAUGCGGUGGCCAAAGUAUUGGAGUUUCAGCCUCAACAUCAGUCCCUCCAAUGAACACCCAGGACUGAUCUCGUUAGGAUGGACUGGUUGGAUCUCCUUGCAGUCCAAGGGACUCUCAAGAAUCUUCUCCAACACCACAGUUCAAAAGCAUCAA
ensembl:lincRNA